rnacentral:rRNA from 1 species
AACUGGCAGACUAGAGAGCAGUAGGGGUAGCAGGAAUUCCCAGUGUAGCGGUGAAAUGCGUAGAGAUUGGGAAGAACAUCGGUGGCGAAAGCGUGCUACUGGGCUGUAUCUGACACUCAGGGACGAAAGCUAGGGGAGCGAAAGGGAUUAGAUACCCCUGUAGUCCUAGCCGUAAACGAUGGAUACUAGGCGUGGCUUGUAUCGACCCGAGCCGUGCCG